rnacentral:rRNA from 1 species
AGCUCCAAUAGUGUAUAUUAGCGUUGCUGUAGUUAAAAAGCUCGUAGUUGGAUUUCGAAAUGCGACUGUCAAAGCCCGUCCAAGUGGCGUGGCUCGACUGGUUGCUUUCUGUCUUUGGGUAAUGGGCGUAGCUUCGGUUGCGUUUUCCGUUCCCAAUUGUUUACUUUGAAAAAAUUAGCGCGUUCAAAGCAGGUGUAACUUUGCCUUGAAUAGUUUAGCAUGGGAUAAUAGAAUAGGACCACCGGCCUUAUUUUAUUGGUUUCUAAAGCUGGGGUAAUGAUUAAUAGGGACAGUUGGGGUCGGUCGUAUUGAAUCGUCAGAGGUGAAAUUCUAUGAUUGAUUCAAGACGAACUGGUGCGAAAGCGUCCGACAAGGAUGUUUCCGUUA